rnacentral:rRNA from 1 species
CCGCAUCUGUGCAUGCAGCAUAUCAAUAAGCGGAGGAAAAGAAACUAACAAGGAUUCCCCUAGUAACGGCGAGUGAAGCGGGAAGAGCUCAAAUUUGAAAUCUUAAAGGGUUUCCCUUUACGAAUUGUAGUUUAAAGAAGUGUUUUCUGUUGAGGUUUUGGUAAAAGUUCUUUGGAAUAGGACAUCAUAGAGGGUGAGAAUCCCGUAUUUGACCUUUACUUUCAACUUUGUGAUACACUUUCAAAGAGUCGGAUUGUUUGGGAAUGCAGUCCAAAAUGGGUGGUAAAUUUCAUCUAAAGCUAAAUAUUGGCGAGAGACCGAUAGCGAACAAGUACCGUGAGGGAAAGAUGAAAAGAACUUUGAAAAGAGAGUUAAACAGUACGUGAAAUUGUCAAAAGGGAAGCGUUUGACACCAGUGUUGUUUUUCUGAAAAUCAAUUAAAGAACUGUUUAUGCUAAGCUGUUUAGACUUUAUCAGCUAUCUGUUUAGUUUUGAGCUUUUCUUUAAUGCACUUUUCAGUUAACAAGUCAACAUCAAUUUCUUUUGCUGUAAAAAAGCUUGAGGAAGGUGGCUUGAGAUUCGUCUUAAGUGUUUAUAGCCUCUUGCCUAUGCAGUCGGAGAGAUUGAGGUCUGCAGCGUAGAUCCUUCGGGGCUAAAUGCAUUUGUGCUAAGUUAUAGCAUUUUAUAGACAACUUGUUGACUAUGAUUUGUCUUGUAGCUUACUCGCUUAUGUUAUUUUACCUACGCUUAGGAUGUUGAAUCUGUGCGAGACUAC